rnacentral:rRNA from 1 species
GACGAACGCUGGCGGCGUGCCUAAUACAUGCAAGUAGAACGCUGAAGGAGGAGCUUGCUUCUCUGGAUGAGUUGCGAACGGGUGAGUAGCGCGUAGGUAACCUGCCUGGUAGCGGGGGAUAACUAUUGGAAACGAUAGCUAAUACCGCAUAAGAGUAGAUGUCGCAUGACAUUUGCUUAAAAGGUGCAAUUGCAUCACUACCAGAUGGACCUGCGUUGUAUUAGCUAGUUGGUGAGGUAACGGCUCACCAAGGCAACGAUACAUAGCCGACCUGAGAGGGUGAUCGGCCACACUGGGACUGAGACACGGCCCAGACUCCUACGGGAGGCAGCAGUAGGGAAUCUUCGGCAAUGGACGGAAGUCUGACCGAGCAACGCCGCGUGAGUGAAGAAGGUUUUCGGAUCGUAAAGCUCUGUUGUAAGAGAAGAACGAGUGUGAGAGUGGAAAGUUCACACUGUGACGGUAUCUUACCAGAAAGGGACGGCUAACUACGUG